ACUCAAAUGAAUUGACGGGGGCCCGCACAAGCGGCGGAGCAUGCGGAUUAAUUCGAUGCAACGCGAAGAACCUUACCUGGGUUUGACAUGGCCGCAAAACUGUCAGAGAUGGCAGGUCCUUCGGGGGCGGUCACAGGUGGUGCAUGGCUGUCGUCAGCUCGUGUCGUGAGAUGUUGGGUUAAGUCCCGCAACGAGCGCAACCCUCGUCCCAUGUUGCCAGCACGUUAUGGUGGGGACUCAUGGGAGACUGCCGGGGUCAACUCGGAGGAAGGUGGGGAUGACGUCAAGUCAUCAUGCCCCUUAUGUCCAGGGCUUCACGCAUGCUACAAUGGCCGGUACAAACCGCUGCGAAACCGUAAGGUUGAGCGAAUCGGAAAAAGCCGGUCUCAGUUCGGAUCGGGGUCUGCAACUCGACCCCGUGAAGUCGGAGUCGCUAGUAAUCGCAGAUCAGCAACGCUGCGGUGAAUACGUUCCCGGGCCUUGUACACACCGCCCGU
rnacentral:rRNA from 1 species